rnacentral:rRNA from 1 species
GAUGAACGCUGGCGGCGUGCCUAAUACAUGCAAGUCGAGCGAACGGACGAGAAGCUUGCUUCUCUGAUGUUAGCGGCGGACGGGUGAGUAACACGUGGAUAACCUACCUAUAAGACUGGGAUAACUUCGGGAAACCGUAGCUAAUACCGGAUAAUAUUUUGAACCGCAUGGUUCAAAAGUGAAAGACGGUCUUGCUGUCACUUAUAGAUGGAUCCGCGCUGCAUUAGCUAGUUGGUAAGGUAACGGCUUACCAAGGCAACGAUGCAUAGCCGACCUGAGAGGGUGAUCGGCCACACUGGAACUGAGACACGGUCCAGACUCCUACGGGAGGCAGCAGUAGGGAAUCUUCCGCAAUGGGCGAAAGCCUGACGGAGCAACGCCGCGUGAGUGAUGAAGGUCUUCGGAUCGUAAAACUCUGUUAUUAGGGAAGAACAUAUGUGUAAGUAACGGUGCACAUCUGGACGGUACCUAAGCAGAAAGCCACGGCUAACUACGG